GUGCUUGCUUCAGCCACACGUAGACUAAAAGUGAAGCGACACAGCGGAGAUUAGCACGGCCCCUGAGCAAGGAUGACAAGNGAAUUCAUGAAGAGUUCUAUAUUGUU
rnacentral:snRNA from 1 species